AAGUCGAACGGAUAACAGGAAACAGCUUGCUGUUUCGCUGACGAGUGGCGGACGGGUGAGUAAUGUCUGGGAAACUGCCUGAUGGAGGGGGAUAACUACUGGAAACGGUAGCUAAUACCGCAUAACGUCGCAAGACCAAAGAGGGGGACCUUCGGGCCUCUUGCCAUCGGAUGUGCCCAGAUGGGAUUAGCUCGUUGGUGGGGUAACGGCUCACCAAGGCGACGAUCCCUAGCUGGUCUGAGAGGAUGACCAGCCACACUGGAACUGAGACACGGUCCAGACUCCUACGGGAGGCAGCAGUGGGGAAUAUUGCACAAUGGGCGCAAGCCUGAUGCAGCCAUGCCGCGUGUAUGAAGAAGGCCUUCGGGUUGUAAAGUACUUUCAGCGGGGAGGAAGGGAGUAAAGUUAAUACCUUUGCUCAUUGACGUUACCCGCAGAAGAAGCACCGGCUAACUCCGCGCCAGCAGCCGCGGUAAUACGGAGGGUGCAAGCGUUAAUCGGAAUUACUGGGCGUAAAGCGCACGCAGGCGGUUUGUUACGUCAGAUGUGAAAUCCCCGGGCUCAACCUGGGAACUG
rnacentral:rRNA from 1 species